UACGAAGGGUGCUAGCGUUGUUCGGAAUCACUGGGCGUAAAGCGUGCGUAGGCGGCUAUGCAAGUCAGAGGUGAAAGCCCAGGGCUUAACCCUGGAAUUGCCUUUGAAACUGCAUAGCUGGAGUACUGGAGGGGAUAGCGGAAUUCCUAAUGUAGCGGUGAAAUGCGUAGAUAUUAGGAGGAACACCGGUGGCGAAGGCGGCUAUCUGGACAGUAACUGACGCUGAGGCACGAAAGCGUGGGGAUCAAACAGG
rnacentral:rRNA from 1 species